rnacentral:sRNA from 1 species
AUUCCUCAGAUAUACGCAUUGCUACAUCAUCAGCUUUUUCCUUACAACUUUUAUUUUCGGUUGGGAAUUCAGGACUUAGAAGAUAUGCCCUUUCAUUCGGUAAUCUGACAAUCUUGAUGAACCAUCCACCUCGAUAAUUUCGAGGAAAAUCUGCGUAGCGAUUAACGGUAUCAAUUGAGUGUUC